GAGAAAAAAACGCAUCCAGGCGAAGGGAAUCCCGUGUGAAUCGGGAGCGGACCCGCCGCUGUGAUCCCUGUCCCGUUUCAAACGGGAUACGACCUCUGUCAGUAAAGCCACUGUCCUGCAUCAUGGGAUGGGAAGGCAGGCAGGGGAGGGAGAGCCAGAAGACCUGUCUGGAUGCUUCUCGCACG
rnacentral:ncRNA from 2 species